UUCAUUGCUUACGAGGGACAGAAGUUCAUAAAUGCAUUUUCUGGAUGGCUUAAUACCCCAAGUUCUUAGUAUUAAGGUUUGGCAAAGUUGGUGAAAAUACUUCCGUGGACAAGCUGUGACUGGGAACUUCCUCUUGGGAGACGAAUUCUUGUUACAAAACACACUUGGCACUGGUCUGAGAAGUCACUUUGAUCUCUUGUUUGAAGUUAUAUGCCAGGAUUCUGGUCCCCUGUGACAUCAGCUAUCUCAGAGUCUGGGCUACGAAAGAGCUGAACCUAGUCAUACGGAACUGGUGCCAAAAGAUGUUUUGAAAUGACCCAGCAGUGUGCUCAAGAAACCUGUGCUUCUGGGGGCACUAAGAAGACAGAUGAUCUUUGGCUCCUUUAAUUGCUUAUGCUUCCAAAUGCCCAGUCUCCUUCCUUCUUCAGGACAUGUGUCUCCUUGUUUGCAUCUCCAUCCUGACUAUCAUGACCUUCCCGGGUACCACCCUCACACACAACACUGAGUGUGAAAACAGGUAGGUCAGGACUUUGCUGACCUUUGAAUGACCAAACAUGCAUACAAACCUCCUCCUUCCCUGAGUUGCCUCCAUUACUGUAAGGAGAAGUCAUCCACCUAAAACUGUCAUGUACAGACAUAGCAUGCAUUAUUAUUACCAUUGCUAACAUGCCUGAAGAAUUCCCCAGGAAAUAUUAACUGUAACAUAAAUUCUUACUUACA